rnacentral:tRNA from 1 species
AUAAUGAGUAGUUUAAGGAAAAACAAUAGGUUGUGGUUCUAUAAAUAGGUUACACUCUCAUUAGG